AUCAGCUUGUUUUAUAGAAAUCAAAGUAAAUAAUGUAUUUAUUCAAUGCUUAACUCUUAGCCAUUUUCUCUUCCCCAUUUGCUAAGAUGGUCUUUUAACUAUUAACUAAGUCCAACCAGUUAUUCUCAAUUCAUAUAAUAUUAUUGGAUUAAACCUUUUCAUCUGAAUUAUAUUAAGUUCAUAUUUAACAUUUUAAAAAGCGAUGAAGAUAAAUCUGGUAAUCCGCAUGGAUCCUUGGAAAUUGCCAUUGGCGAUAGUAAACCAAAGGAAUCAAAUGUCGACUAGAUAAAGGCAAGUCUGAGCUUUUCUAUUAGUUUUGAAUCGUUUAAAAUAAUAUU